AUGGCGGUGACGGCGACGACGGCCGCGGCCGCGGCCACCAUGCUGGCGGCGGUGAUGGCCAUCUUCCUCUCCUUCGUGCUCUGCUUCUACAUAUUCCUCUGCGCCAAGAGGUCCCGGGGAGGGGCGCCGCCGCCGCCGGGGAGCGGCGUCAUGGCGCACCUGCGCUUCCUGUUCUGCGGCGGGGACGGGAGGGCCGGGGCGGGGGACGGCGUCGCCCCCUGGUUCUACGACGGGGGCCUCGACGACGCGUCCAUGGCGUCGCUGCCCCGCCGGGAGGUGGCCAAGGGCGAGGCCAUGGACUGCGCGGUCUGCAUCACGGAGCUCGCCGCCGGGGAGACGGCGCGCGUGCUGCCCCGCUGCGGCCACGGCUUCCACGUCGACUGCGUCGACAUGUGGCUCAAGUCGCACUCCACCUGCCCGCUCUGCCGCUGCCCCGCCGUCGACGCGCCGCCGCUGCCGCCCGCGCCCGUCCAGGCGCCCGAGGCCGACCAGGAGUCGCCCAACUUCCCCACCAACGUGCUCUUCUUCGGCUCCCAGGACGACGUCAGCACCGGCCGCGCGCAGCCGCAGCAGGCUCCCGCCACAACGACACCUCAAUCAGCGCCUACUCCGUCGCAAGCGCAAGCGCCGGCCGCCGGGGCGUGCGGGCUGCGGCGGCUACUCGGGUGUGGCGGCGCGUCGCCGCCCCCAGCGCCUCAGGAAGAAGACGCUGCCAGAGACAUAGAGAUGGGGCUCGCCGGCGUUGGCGAGAGCAGCGCGUCGUCGCGGCAGACGAAGCCGCCGCAGCAGCCGGCGGGCUCAUGCUGA
rnacentral:rRNA from 1 species